rnacentral:rRNA from 1 species
AGUGAACGCUGGCGGUAGGCCUAACACAUGCAAGUCGAACGGCAGCACAGUAAGAGCUUGCUCUUACGGGUGGCGAGUGGCUGACGGGUGAGGAAUACAUCGGAAUCUACUUUUUUGUGGGGGAUAACGUAGGGAAACUUACGCUAAUACCGCAUACGACCUACGGGUGAAAGCAGGGGAUCUUCGGACCUUGCGCGAUUGAAUGAGCCGAUGUCGGAUUAGCUAGUUGGCGGGGUAAAGGCCCACCAAGGCGACGAUCCGUAGCUGGUCUGAGAGGAUGAUCAGCCACACUGGAACUGAGACACGGUCCAGACUCCGACGGGAGGCAGCAGUGGGGAAUAUUGGACGAUGGGCGCAAGCCUGAUCCAGCCAUACCGCGUGGGUGAAGAAGGCCUUCGGGUUGUAAAGCCCUUUUGUUGGGAAAGAAAAAAAGCAGGUUAAUACCCCGCUGUUAUGACGGUACCCAAAGAAUAAGCACCGGCUAACUUCGUG